rnacentral:rRNA from 1 species
GACGAACCGUACGAACGUUAUUCGGAAUCACUGGGCUUAAAGGGUGCGUAGGCGGCGCAGUAAGUUGGGUGUGAAAUCCCUCGGCUUAACCGAGGAAUUGCGCCCAAAACUACUGUGCUCGAGGGAGGUAGAGGUGAGCGGAACUUAGGGUGGAGCGGUGAAAUGCGUUGAUAUCCUAAGGAACACCGGUGGCGAAAGCGGCUCACUGGACCUCUUCUGACGCUGAGGCACGAAAGCUAGGGGAGCAAACGGG